UAAGUAUCUUUAAAUAUCAAUAUUUAUUUAAAAGAACCAUAUCUGUGUAUUUUUGCAGCCGCGACUGUAUUUACCAAGAGCUUAACUUUAUGUGCCGGGGUCAGUAACCGAGAUUUUCAGAUUUCUCCCCUUUUUUGGGGCAGCCGACAAUCGACAACCGACAGCCGCAUAGCUGAUAAGCCUUAAGCUGCUUAAUCGAUGACCAGAGAGUUGUCAAAAAAUAAUUCACAGGCUCGGGACGAGCACUGGGAUGCGGCUGAAAGAUCUACCCUUUGGUGCUUUAAAUGGUCCUCAACGUUGCGGGAGGGACGACAUCGAAGAGAGUGGAAGACGGAACCCCCAUUGGCCGCGCCAAAUCAGAGUCUCCUUGUCGGCGGGGCCCUUACAUGAGAAAUAUUUUAGCGUACAAUGCAGAAAUGGUAGCAACUUCGCAGCGUUUCCUUAUCAGUCGCAGCUCCGCUGACGUGUGCACCCCAAAAAAAGGAGGAACAAAGCAGAAGGAGGACCAGAAACAGAAACAGAAACCGCGCUUGCAGAUAAUGCCACAAUGAAGACAGCAUAACGCGCCGCUGUUGAAAAAUCGCUGCAUGCUGGCAGGGCCAACAUCAGAUGGCAAAGAGGAUGCGUCCACAUCAAGAUAAAUGAGCGUGCGUCUUCGUUUUGUGUUGCUUCUGCUGCUGUUGACGUGGGACCUGCAACCUGUCCCUGCCCCUGCCUCUAUAAGCCGGGAAUCAAAGUUAUAAUAAUGCAUAAGUAAUUUGCAGCAGAAGCAAUCGGAAAGAGCCAUCAGGGAGCUCGUGCCGCGGCUGCUUUCCGCCUUGACAACAGUUAAUCAAAACCGGCACACAACAUGGUCAGACUCGUCUGCCCUGCAGCUAUCUGUCCCUUUUGGAUAGUUAUUUAUUAACUGCGCAGCACUUUAUCCGCACAUCGUUAAAGGAGAAACCAAAUAUUUGCAAAUAUGUACUUCAAAAAGCGAACGAAAACUGGAGCAAGUGAUACUGUUGAGUUAGCUGUUGUGCAGCCAAUGCAUUGCCAAUGGCACACUUGUGCAACAUUAACUUGCCUCUCAAGUUCAGACAAAGAAGGGAGAAGCAGCACAAUGGCCAUUGCCAUUGGCAUUGGCAGACCCAAAUCCAGUGCCCAGCAUAGGGCCAGAGCCAAACAAUGCCGCGGCUUGUAAAGACAAGGGAAACCCAAACAGUGGAGGACCCGAGGCAGCGGCCACUGAACUGAACUAGAUUUCAGCUCAUUGCAAA